AACUGAAGAGUUUGAUCCUGGCUCAGAUUGAACGCUGGCGGCAUGCUUUACACAUGCAAGUCGAACGGUAACAGGGAGCUUGCUCCGCUGACGAGUGGCGAACGGGUGAGUAAUAUAUCGGAACGUACCCAAGAGUGGGGGAUAACGUAGCGAAAGUUACGCUAAUACCGCAUACGAUCUAUGGAUGAAAGCAGGGGAUCUUCGGACCUUGUGCUCCUGGAGCGGCCGAUAUCUGAUUAGCUAGUUGGUGAGGUAAAGGCUCACCAAGGCGACGAUCAGUAGCUGGUCUGAGAGGACGACCAGCCACACUGGAACUGAGACACGGUCCAGACUCCUACGGGAGGCAGCAGUGGGGAAUUUUGGACAAUGGGCGCAAGCCUGAUCCAGCAAUGCCGCGUGAGUGAAGAANACACUGGAACUGAGACACGGUCCAGACUCCUACGGGAGGCAGCAGUGGGGAAUUUUGGACAAUGGGCGCAAGCCUGAUCCAGCAAUGCCGCGUGAGUGAAGAAGGCCUUCGGGUUGUAAAGCUCUUUUGUCAGGGAAGAAACGGGAUUGGCUAAUAUCCAGUCCUAAUGACGGUACCUGAAGAAUAAGCACCGGCUAACUACGU
rnacentral:rRNA from 1 species